UUCAAACACGAUCGAGAGAGACAGAAUGUUUUUCGUUAUCAAAGUGUAAUGACACAAACUUCACCACAUACGUUGCAGCAAUAAGAUGAAAUCUCUUAAUCACAAUGACAUUUUAUCGAUCGUGACGAAAAUUGAUUUGCACGUGCAACGGAUAGCUUAAGUCAAGUCGUUUGCACUCAUGGCAGAGUGGUCGUGGUCAUCAGUUCGGGUGGUGGUGCGCUUCACAAGACGUCGCCAUUGCUCGCGUGCUGUGGCCUCUCUUGUGAACUCGUUGACGGGACUGUUUGGAGCUUUUUUUUUCGACUUACCAACUUGGAUAAUAUGAUAAUGAAUACUGUGUUUUUAUAAAUAAAUAACCAGAAGCUUUGCAAUGCAAGAAAUAUAAUGUUUUUGUUCGUAAUA